UGACCCGAGCAGCUUUUCUUGGGACACCAGCGGCUUUUGUAAGUUGCUGGCUUUGGGGAGCCAAUCUGGUGAAACCCGGAAGCUGCGCCUUCGCGGUUUAGACAGCUGAGUAAAUUGUCCUUAAAUAAAAUGGAAGGUGCUAAGACUUGAGCACUGGUAGCAACAACCAAGGCCGCCUCUACUCUGACCCGUUUUCACUAGGCAGCAUGGUCUUGAGGGAGCAGAGGUGAACUGUGGUUGAGGAAAUCAGACUCAGUCUUCCGGACAUACUGCCUCAGCCGUGGUUCUACAAUGCUGUUAAUUAGGCAUUUUAUUGCCUUCAAGAGUGUCUUGCCCUACUGUGACAAAAACACCUGUGUUCCCAGAACUUUGGAGUUUUGAAGCAGCCUGGGCUAUGUGUGACCCUGUGUCAGAUAAAUAAAAGCUCACUCUGUA